CAAAUCCAAAUCCAAUAAUUCUAUUUUAUUUCAAAAUCACUCAUAGCUAGCUUCUCUGGAUGAACCUCUCUUCUUCAUUUUCUUCUUCUUCUUCUUCUCUGCAUCUCCAUUUCACAAAACUCCGAAUCACUCAGGAACAAAGAACACACCCAUGAGGACUCUAUUGAGCUUUUGGUGUCUCUAGCUUACGUAUAUGAUGCAUAAUUGCGUAGUUUCGUCUCUUGGUCUGGCGCACAACAAAUUUCACAGAAUAAAUUUAGACCAAAAGAGAAGGUUUAUCAACAUCCAUGCGCCAGAUAUAGAAGGCUUGGAGAUGCUGACACGGGGAAAGAGAGAAAGAGACAGAUAAAAGGGAAUUAGAGAGUCUACGUACCGCCUUUCUUUGGCAAAUUUGACCAAUCAUGGGGACUCAACUUCAUAUCUGACGCUUGUAUCAAUUCAGUGAGAGCUUGGUUGACCUGCAGUUUAACAGAGUUGACUGACAAGUUAAAGGACUAGCUGCUUACAAGCUUAUUCAGGUCAGGUAUGAUAACCUAAUCAAAACCACAGGUGAAGAAACUACAGUAAUACAACAACAACAGCAGCACUACGGAUUCCCAUGGAACAUCCUCGAGUUUUUCCUAUUACAUUCAGCUUAACGAAGGUCAUAACAAAGGUCACAUUGCGGUAAUUAGAUACUAGUUUUAUAAAUUUUGACAAUGUUGGUUCACCAAUGUAACAAACCGAGCAUCAUAAUAAAAUCUAUAACGGUGCAAUGUUUCCAUCUACGUUCACUCCAUUAUAAUUCGAUUG